UCGUGUUGUGAAAUGUUGGGUUAAGUCCCGCAACGAGCGCAACCCUUAUCCUUUGUUGCCAGCGAUUAGGUCGGGAACUCAAAGGAGACUGCCGGUGACAAACCGGAGGAAGGUGGGGAUGACGUCAAGUCAUCAUGGCCCUUACGAGUAGGGCUACACACGUGCUACAAUGGCGUAUACAGAGGGAAGCGAGAGUGCGAGCUGGAGCGAAUCUCACAAAGUACGUCUAAGUCCGGAUUGGAGUCUGCAACUCGACUCCA
rnacentral:rRNA from 1 species